rnacentral:lncRNA from 1 species
GCCCCCCAAAAUCCUAGUUCUGUAGAUGGACCUCAUCCGAUCUUUGUACCGGACACCUUUCUCAGCUCUCUGACUUCAGACGAACUCUCACUGAUUAAGAUUCAGUACGGAGUUCCUCCAAAGUACGAGCUUGAGCUUUUCGAGCCAACUGACCGGGCUAGCGCCCCUCCUCCUGGCCACUUCUGCUUAUAUCAGGAAGCUUUUCGUGCUGGGCUUCGACUUCCGCUUCCACCUUUUAUCGUUGCUCUUUUUCACUUUCUAAAUAUUUCUCUAGUUUCUG